UACACAUGAAAGUGAUUGUUAAAUAUUGAGCAUGGCUUGCUUCCCUGACUCAACUCAAAAAAUGUUAAGUGACAUACCAACUGUUUUU